CGGGGUGUAGCUCAGCCCGGUUAGAGUACGCGUCUGGGGGGCGCGUGGUCGCAAGUUCGAAU
rnacentral:tRNA from 1 species